ACAUCCAAACUGCCCUUUCAAGGACACUAAGCUUGUUGGGAUGAUAAUGAAUGUGAUAGAGAAAAGGAAUAAGAAUUAAUAGAACAAAAUUAUCGGCCACUCCCUAUCAAGGGCCAGCAUACCACUAAUGAGAUAUUACUCUGAUGGUGCAAGGAUCCUCUAAGGUUUUGCUUUCUGAUUAAUUUCUUACGAUGAUAGGCAAAAUGAAAAAAUGAAGAGUUGCUCAUGCAAUAAUGUCGCAAUCCAAUUUCCAGAAUGUAAUGUUCUCCAACAUAAUUAGCAGGCGAACUAAGUCUUCCUUGUAUCAUUUCUUCUUGAGCAUAAUCAACAAAUCUUUCCAUUAGGAAUCCAUCACUGCCCCUGUCAAUCUGACAUUUUAACACCUGUGAGACACCUACUUCCAUGAUCACUUAAUCCCAACUGUUUGAAGUUGACUAAAUAAUUUUGCCUAUCAUCUUGCCUUUCCUUAAUUUCCCUUGGCUUAAAUGCAACUGUAUAUGGGGCCCACCAUGCUAAUUUAUUUUCACCAUUACAAUUUACACUCUACAGUUAUAUAGUACCAGACACUGAAUAUACCUAACACCCAGAAACGAAUUCUCGACUUAUAGUAAUUAAGCUCCAAAAAAACAAGGCAGACAUCCAAAACAAGGAACUCAAAGAAAUGUAGCCACGUACCCCACUAUGCAAAGGAAUUCCCAUGUAAAAAAAUUUAGUCAUGCAUAAGAUUCAAAAAUAAUUUAUAGCCAACCCGUUAUCCAAUCAACAGACCAAACUAACAGCAAAUAACUAUGAAAAACGAAAUACACAAUACAAUUUGGACACAGAAAAGGUUGAAAAGCGUCAAAACUGAAGUAAACACCAAAUGGGUAUUCCAAAAAACACAAUAAAACUCAAAAUUCUAUGAAAAUAAAUGCAAAGCCACACAAAAUUAUCAAUUGGCACGCAAAACUCUUACCUAAAACUUCAUAGAAACAAAAGGAAAUUGAAACCCAAAA
rnacentral:misc_RNA from 1 species